GUUUUUAUUACAGUGACAGAUUACACAAUGACAGAUGACAAGAAUUUCGAAGAUUUACGCAACGUAAUGUUUAUGCAAGCAUUUACUAGAGAUUUUCUACAUAUUGCAAGAGAUACGUAUACUUCUUAUUUUAUUAUUUCAUAUUAAAUCAUAAAAUUAUUAAUAAAUUUGAAGUUAUUUCAGUUCUAAUAUUCAUUUCUUAUUUUGCUGCAUUUAUUGGACUUUCUGCGUAUUGUAACAGUGAGACAUAUACUUUGAUUCCUGUUCCUGUUUUUGUCUACGAUCUCUUUUUUUGACUGACAUAAUAUUUUAAAAGUUGUACCGUAGUCUUCAAUUUGAGAUAUAAUACCAAAAUUACAUCCACAAGCUACAGACGAUCAAAUUUCAGCCCCAAUAAAAAUCUGGUUGGCUCAUGCCAAGGAAUGAUUGUUCAGGCAACACAUGACCAAAAGUAAACAUACAAAUCGACAUAAAUGAAAAAUUAAGUAUUUGUUGUAUUUCAUUCAUUUAUUUAUUAUUUUAAUUUAAAAAUAAAGCAACAUUUUUAACUCUUGUUA